rnacentral:rRNA from 1 species
UUAGUGGCGGACGGGUGAGUAACGCGUGGGCAACCUGCCGUAUACAGGGGGAUAACAACUGGAAACAGCUGCUAACACCGCAUAAGCGCACGGUACCGCAUGGUACCGAGUGAAAAUCUCCGGAGGUAUACGAUGGGCCCGCGUCUGAUUAGCCAGUUGGUGGGGUAACGGCCUACCAAAGCGACGAUCAGUAGCCGGCCUGAGAGGGUGGACGGCCACAUUGGGACUGAGACACGGCCCAAACUCCUACGGGAGGCAGCAGUGGGGGAUAUUGCACAAUGGGGGAAACCCUGAUGCAGCGACGCCGCGUGAGUGAAGAAGCAAUUCGUUGCGUAAAGCUCUAUCAGCAGGGAAGAAGAAAUGACGGUACCUGAAUAAGAAGCCCCGGCUAACUACGUGCCAGCAGCCGCGGUAAUACGUAGGGGGCAAGCGUUAUCCGGAUUUACUGGGUGUAAAGGGAGCGUAGACGGCAGUGCAAGUCCGAUGUGAAAACCCGGGGCUCAACCCUGGGAGUGCAUUGGAAACUGUACGGCUGGAGUGCAGGAGAGGUAAGCGGAAUUCCUGGUGUAGCGGUGAAAUGCGUAGAUAUCAGGAGGAACACCAGUGGCGAAGGCGGCUUACUGGACUGUAACUGACGUUGAGGCUCGAAAGCGUGGGGAGCAAACAGGAUUAGAUACCCUGGUAGUCCACGCUGUAAACGAUGAAUACUAGGUGUCGGGGGUUUACGGACGUCCGGUGCCGCAGCAAACGCAGUAAGUAUUCCACCUGGGGAGUACGUUCGCAAGA